rnacentral:tRNA from 1 species
GGUCCGGUAGGCAAACGGCAAAGCCUGCGUACUCAAAAUGCGCUGUGUGUGGGUUCGACUCCCACCCGGACUAC